rnacentral:rRNA from 1 species
CCGCAUGGGGAUAUUUGCUAAAGAUUCAUCGCUGAUAGAUAGGCAUGCGUUCCAUUAGGCAGUUGGCGGGGUAACGGCCCACCAAACCGACGAUGGAUAGGGGUUCUGAGAGGAAGGUCCCCCACAUUGGUACUGAGACACGGACCAAACUCCUACGGGAGGCAGCAGUGAGGAAUAUUGGUCAAUGGGCGCGAGCCUGAACCAGCCAAGUCGCGUGAGGGAUGAAGGUUCUAUGGAUCGUAAACCUCUUUUAUAAGGGAAUAAAGUGUGGGACGUGUCCUAUUUUGUAUGUACCUUAUGAAUAAGGAUCGGCUAACUCCGUGCCAGCAGCCGCGGUAAUACGGAGGAUCCGAGCGUUAUCCGGAUUUAUUGGGUUUAAAGGGUGCGUAGGCGGCCUUUUAAGUCAGCGGUGAAAGUCUGUGGCUCAACCAUAGAAUUGCCGUUGAAACUGGGGGGCUUGAGUAUGUUUGAGGCAGGCGGAAUGCGUGGUGUAGCGGUGAAAUGCUUAGAUAUCACGCAGAACCCCGAUUGCGAAGGCAGCCUGCCAAGCCAUGACUGACGCUGAUGCACGAAAGCGUGGGGAUCAAACAGGAUUAGAUACCCUGGUAGUCCACGCAGUAAACGAUGAUCACUAGCUGUUUGCGAUACAGUGUAAGCGGCCA